UACAGAGGGUGCGAGCGUUGUUCGGAAUUAUUGGGCGUAAAGGGCUCGUAGGCGGUUUGUCGCGUCGGGAGUGAAAACUCAGGGCUUAACCCUGAGCCUGCUUCCGAUACGGGCAGACUAGAGGUAUGCAGGGGAGAACGGAAUUCCUGGUGUAGCGGUGAAAUGCGCAGAUAUCAAGGAGGAACACCGGUGGCGAAGGCGGUUCUCUGGGCAUUACCUGACGCUGAGGAGCGAAAGUGUGGGGAGCGAACAGG
rnacentral:rRNA from 1 species